rnacentral:rRNA from 1 species
AGCAGCCGCGGUAAUUCCAGCUCCAAUAGCGUAUAUUAAAGUUGUUGCAGUUAAAAAGCUCGUAGUUGAAUUUCGGGACCAAUUUGUUGGUCGUGCCUCGGUACGUACUGGUAUUAUUGGUUUCUCCCUUCUGAAGAACCUCGAUGCCAUUAAUUUGGUGUCGUGGGGAAUCAGGACUGUUACUUUGAAAAAUUAGAGUGUUUAAAGCAAGCAUACGCUUGAAUACAUUAGCAUGGAAUAAUGAAAUAGGACGUUUGAUUCUAUUUUGUUGGUUUCUAGGAUCGACGUAAUGAUUAAUAGGGAUAGUUGGGGGCAUUAGUAUUCAAUUGUCAGAGGUGAAAUUCUUGGAUUUAUUGAAGACUAACUACUGCGAAAGCAUUUGCCAAGGAUGUUUCAUUAAUCAAGAACGAAAGUUAGGGAUCGAAGACGAUCAGAUACCGU